rnacentral:misc_RNA from 1 species
GAUGAAGAACGUAGCAAAAUGCGAUAAGUAGUGUGAAUUGCAGAAUUCAGUGAAUCAUCGAAUCUUUGAACGCACAUUGCGCCUCCUGGUAUUCCGGGAGGCAUGCCUGUUCGAGCGUCAUCAAAAACCUCAACCCAUGAUUUAUUGUGAGUUGGUUCUGCAUUGGACUCCUUGUGGGUCCUUUGCGAAAUCCAAUGGCGAAGAGCCACGCAACCAAAGCGUAGUAUAACUAUUUCGUUAUGGAAGCGUGGGUGCCUCUGCCGUAACCCCCAAUUUCUUAGUUUUUGACCUCGGAUCAGGUAGGGAUACCCGCUGAACUUAAGCAUAUCAAUAAGCGGAGGA